rnacentral:rRNA from 1 species
CCUACGGGAGGCUGCAGUGAGGAAUAUUGGUCAAUGGGCGCGAGCCUGAACCAGCCAAGUCGCGUGAGGGAGGACGGCCCUACGGGUUGUAAACCUCUUUUGCCGGGGAGCAACGGGCGUCACGUGUGGCGCCACUGAGAGUACCCGGAGAAAAAGCAUCGGCUAACUCCGUGCCAGCAGCCGCGGUAAUACGGAGGGAGCAAGCGUUGUCCGGAAUUACUGGGCGUAAAGGGCGCGUAGGUGGGCGCUUAAGUCAGGUGUGAAAACUCCGGGCUCAACCUGGAGACUGCACUUGAAACUGGGUGUCUUGAGGGCAGGAGAGGAAAGUGGAAUUCCUAGUGUAGCGGUGAAAUGCGUAGAUAUUAGGAGGAACACCAGUGGCGAAGGCGACUUUCUGGACUGUACCUGACGCUGAGGCGCGAAAGCGUGGGUAGCGAACGGGAUUAGAUACCCCAGUAGUC